rnacentral:rRNA from 1 species
GUUGGCUCAGAAGCAGCCACUCAUUCAAAGAGUGCGUAAUAGCUCACUGGUCGAGCGUCUUUGCGCGGAGAAUUUAACGGGGCUAAACCUGGCACCGAAGCUUAGGCAAUGUAGCAAUACAUUGGGUAGGGGAGCGUUGUAUACGCGGUGAAACAGUAGCGCAAGCGGCUGUGGAGUGUAUAGAAGUGAGAAUGCCGGAAUGAGUAGCGCGAAUGCAGUGAGAAUCUGCAUGGCCGAAAGCCUCAGGUUUUUGGAGGAAGGUUCGUCCGCUCCAAGUUAGUCGGGAGCUAAGGUGAGGCCGAAAGGCGUAGCCGAUGCACAGACGGUAGAGAUUCCGUCACCACCAAAAGAGUUAAGCACAGGGACACAUUUGAAGUCUCAGAGCCGGGUGUUGGUUCCGGUAGAGAUCGAGGGAAGUUAGUACCGAAGUCUGAGAUGGAAGAUGGCGAGAAAAGCUGUGUGUAUUUCUGAGGUGCCCGUACCGCAAACCGACACAGGUAGGUAGGAAGAAGAUUCUAAGGCCAACGGGAGAAGGGUUGUUAAGGAACUCGGCAAAUUGACCCCGUAACUUCGGGAGAAGGGGUGCUCCAGAGAUGGAGCCGCAGAGAAUCGGCCCAAGCAACUGUUUACCAAAAACACAGGUUUGUGCUAAAUCGAAAGAUGACGUAUACGAGCUGACGCCUGCCCGGUGCUGGAAGGUUAAGAGGAGAUGUGCAAGCAUUGAAUCGAAGCCCCAGUGAACGGCGGCCGUAACUAUAACGGUCCUAAGGUAGCGAAAUUCCUUGUCAGGUAAGUUCUGACCCGCACGAAAGGCGUAAUGAUUUGGGCACUGUCUCAACAGCCCGCCCGGCGAAAUUGUAGUACCGGUGAAGAUGCCGGUUACCCGCGACAAGACGGAAAGACCCCAUGGAGCUUUACUGUAGCCUAAUAUUGGGUUUCGAUGUUGCAUGCACAGGAUAGAUGGGACACUGGGAAACAAUCGCUUUGGCGGUUGCGGAGUGGCCGUUGGGAUACCAUCCUUGCGAUAUUGGAAUUCUAACCUGCGGCUCUGAAUCGAGUCGGGGGACAUUGUUAGGUGGGCAGUUUGACUGGGGCGGUCGCCUCCUAAAAAGUAACGGAGGCGUUCAAAGGUUCGCUCAGCUUGAACGGAAAUCAAGCAAAAGAGUGCAAACGCAGAAGCGAGCCUAACUGCGAGACUGACGGGUCGAGCAGUAACGAAAGUUGGAGUUAGUGAUCCGGUGGUAUGUGAGUGGAAAUGCCAUCGCUCAACGGAUAAAAGUUACCCUGGGGAUAACAGGCUGAUCUCCCCCAAGAGUCCACAUCGACGGGGAGGUUUGGCACCUCGAUGUCGGCUCAUCGCAUCCUGGGGCUGUAUUCGGUCCCAAGGGUUUGGCUGUUCGCCAAUUAAAGCGGUACGCGAGCUGGGUUCAGAACGUCGUGAGACAGUUCGGUCCCUAUCUGUCGUGGGCGCAGGAUAUUUGAUGGGAGCUGUCCCUAGUACGAGAGGACCGGGACGGACGUACCUCUGGCGCACCAGUUGUUCCGCCAGGAGCAUAGCUGGGCAACUACGUACGGAUCGGAUAAACGCUGAAAGCAUCUAAGCGUGAAGCCGACCCAAAGAUAAGAUAUCCCACUGAUUUGAUCAGGUAAGAUCCCUUGAAGACUACAAGGUUGAUAGGCACGAUGUGUAAGUGGAGUGAUCCAUUCAGCAAGAGUGUACUAAUAGAUCGAGGGCUUGACCA